UAAUACUUUAAUUUAUACACAACUCCGACUUUGCUGAAAUUUCAUUUCAUCUGUCGACAAGUUCGGAAUUUAGACCAAACGCAUUCAGUAUGGCCAAUAUACGUCACAAAACAACGUGUUGACGUCAUUGUUUUGACUGAAAUCGGUUGUCUUACUGAAAACAUCCGUAAUACAAAAAAAAAAAAGAUAAUAACAACAGGAAUUGGAUUCGUCUUCUGUACACGUGAUGACGUGACGGGUUACUUUGUUACUGGGACAGCUUGGUCCACAUACUUGAGCUGUAAAGAAUGAUGCGAGAAUAUGAGAAUAUAUGAAUAAACCUGAAUAACAUUCCAUCUCUCUGUCGUCUGUUCGAACCCAAUAUGAUGCUGCUACAAGUGGAUGACAGAUGGUGAACAGUUACACCGCAACUGGUCGUAUGCGAAGGGUGUCAUAUUCUAAAGUGUGCUAGUGGAUUACAUUAGUGUGGAACAGAGUGCCAAGUUCAUGCAUCGUUAGCGGUUUUAUUAAAGUGGAACUGACGUACGGGGAAAGUGAGAUGAGUGUUGAUAACAUGGAUGAUGUUGGUGUUGAUUUUGGCGUCAUCCUUCCACCCGAGGUAGCUUAGGAAUAUCACUCGGACACAGAAGACGACAGUUUUGAUGGGUUCGAAUCAGAUGAACUCGGUGAUUUGUAAACAAACCCACUGACAUUCAAUAGUGUGGCCAAAAAGACUAUUUCUAAAUGCUGUAAUAUAUUGUAGAACAUGUUAUAAUUAUUUACUUUUUAAAAUUAAAAAUGCCAACCUAUUUGG